rnacentral:ribozyme from 1 species
CGUCAUCGCAAAGUGAGGGACUGGUGGAUGCAGCGCUCAAUCACUACUUGCGCGAUGCAAGUCACGCUAUUCGAUCGCGCAUCAACUACACAAAGGUGGUAUCGGAGGCAUGCAAUGCAAGUA